CUGGGAAGAGGGGACGUUUGCAAAAACACAUUGUGCAGCGACACCCCUGAUGGGGCAGGAGCAGCUCAGCUGGAGGACUCCGAUGGAGAGAGGACGGGGGCUUCGGCGCAGCCACAGCGGAACACAGACGGCGACCAUCCGGAACAGCCUCGGGUCAUCACAGAGGAACGUGAACAAGAACGUAUACUAGAAAUUGCAGAACGGAUGAGAAGACCGGAGGAUGAGGUUGGCACACAGCAGCCGGCGGAGAUGUGGCAGGUCCAGCU
rnacentral:lncRNA from 1 species